rnacentral:rRNA from 1 species
GACGAACGCUGGCGGCGUGCUUAACACAUGCAAGUCGAACGGAAAGGCCCUGCUUUUGUGGGGUGCUCGAGUGGCGAACGGGUGAGUAACACGUGAGUAACCUGCCCUUGGCUUUGGGAUAACUUCAGGAAACUGGGGCUAAUACCGGAUAGGAGCUACUGCGGCAUGGGGGGGGUUGGAAAGUUUCGGCGGUUGGGGAUGGACUCGCGGCUUAUCAGCUUGUGGGUGGGGUAGUGGCUUACCAAGGCUUUGACGGGUAGCCGGCCUGAGAGGGUGAACGGCCACAUUGGGACUGAGAUACGGCCCAGCCUCCUACGGGAGGCAGCAGUGGGGAAUAUUGCACAAUGGGCGGAAGACUGAUGCAGCAACGCCGCGUGCGGGAUGACGGCCUUCGGGUUGUAAACCGCUUUCGCCUGUGACGAAGCGUGAGUGAAGGUAAUGGGUAAAGAAGCCCCGGCUAACUACGUG